rnacentral:rRNA from 1 species
UACGAAGGGUGCAAGCGUUAUCCGGAUUCAUUGGGCUUAAAGGGCGCGUAGGUGGCCUUAUAAGUCAGCGGUGAAAUCUCUGGGCUUAACCCAGAAAUUGCCAUUGAUACUGUAGGGCUUGAGUAUAGUUGCCGUUGGCGGAAUAUGACAUGUAGUGGUGAAAUACAUAGAGAUGUCAUAGAACACCGAUUGCGAAGGCAGCUGACGAAACUAUAACUGACACUGAGGCUCGAAAGUGCGGGGAUCAAACAGG